rnacentral:misc_RNA from 1 species
GAUGAAGAACGCAGCGAAAUGCGAUACGUAGUGUGAAUUGCAGAAUUCAGUGAAUCAUCGAAUCUUUGAACGCACAUUGCACCUCUCGGUAUUCCGGGAGGUAUGCCUGUUCGAGCGGCAUUUGUACCCUCAAGCUCUGCUUGGUGUUGGGUGUUUGUUCCGCCUCUGUGUGUGAACUCGCCUCAAAACAAUUGGCAGCCGGCGUACUUGUUUCGGAGCGCAGCACAUUUUGCGAUCCAGAUCAACGUACAGCGGCAUCCAAGAAGCCUUAUUUAACGCUCUUGACCUCGGAUCAGGUAGGGAUACCCGCUGAACUUAAGCAUAUCAAUAAGCGGAGGA